CGUGGAAAUUUGGAUGGAGUCCAUCCGUCGUGAAGAAUCCGGUCGACGCUGGUGGGGGCUUAUCCUUCAGCAAAACUUGGGAGUGUUGCGGAGGCUCGGCCGCCUGGGAGGUUUGAAGAGAUGUCGUCGGAGGUCGGAAGUCGGUUGGAUCCCCAGAGGGUCACUCCUGCCACGAACUUCGGCUGGGGGAUAUUUUAUACCCAACAGGUAUAAUUUCAGACCAAU
rnacentral:lncRNA from 1 species